rnacentral:rRNA from 1 species
GCCCUCUGGUUGAUCCUGGCGGCAGAGAUCCGGACCAGGACAAAGUUGGCGCAAAUAACCAUUGAAAGCUGAUCCAAGGUCUCUGCCUGGUAAAUUGCCUUAUAGGCAUGGAGUUCGGCCUGGUCAAGUUCACCGCUUUCCAGGCAGUAUUCUGCCCUGAUCAGGCUUUCGAACCCCUUGCCGCAGCCGCCGCGGUAAUACGGGCUAGAGCGGCCGCCACCGCGGUGGAGCUCCAGCUUUUGUUCCCUUUAGUGAGGGUUAAUUGCGCGCUUGGCGUAAUCAUGGUCAUAGCUG